UUACAUUUAAUUGAUGUUUUAUUUAUUGAUAUAUAUAAUAGAAAUGUGUUAAUUAAUUAAGUGUGAUAAUGCAACAGACCAUUAUCACUAAUCAGCUCUUUGUGUACAGCACAGCAGGAUGAAGGUGAAGGUGAUCUUCCCAGGCAAAAUUAAAGUGUGCUUCAGGAAAGGACCAACUGGAUAUCUGAGACAAGAUCCCUCAGAUGAAGCCAAGAGGAUCAAAGACAACCCCAAUCUCCAGGACAAAUCAGCCCCUCAGGGGGAAGACAAGGUCAAGGAAAAUGCUCGCUCUGUUGUCUUCAUGAGAGGAGGAGAUGUGUCAGACCGACAGGAGGUGCUGGGAGAGUAUGUGCUUCAGUUUGGAAAGUACAAAGGCAAGUCAUUCCGGUGGCUGCUUGAGAAUGAUGUAGGCUAUACCAUGUUCUUGACUAAGAAGGUUGAGGACGAGGAGAGAGCCGGACAGUUUAAACCAGAGGGUCCCAAGAAGGACAGCCUACUUUCAUUUCUUGACUACAGUAGAAGCUACCAGGAAAUCAAGGACCUCAUAAAGUAUUUAUCUGGAAGAUCAGUGGCACCACCUGUAAGAAAUGAAGAUGACAACUUGGUUGGCUUUGGGAUUAAUGCAGACAAGACUUGGUGGGAUAUUUGGGAGAGCAGAGCAGAUGGAUAUGCUGCAUUCAUCCUCCAGAAACAGUGUGUUCCAGGCAGCAAAAUGUAUCGGCUGCAGCAAUACCUCACUCAGAAAAAGAGACAGCUUCAGAGUGUUUCAGAGGAACUUGCUUCCUCUGGCCUUGCAGCAUCUGCCUCUCAUCCUCUAGAAAUGGAGGAUGAUGAAGAAUUGGAGAGAAUGAUGCUUUCUAUAUCCCCAUCAAAACUCCAAGGCCAACUGAAAGUGGAGGAGGGUGAAGAAUUGGGUAGGAUGAUGCUACCCGCAUAUUCAUCUAAAAUUCCAGGCCAGCUGAGUUCAGAAGUUGUUGGAGUCCCAGUGGUCAAAGGUCUUAUUCUACUGCAUACAAGGGAUGAUUCUGACAUGAAUCAGGAUUAUCUGUUCUGCAUUGAUUUGUUGCUGUUUGUUGUUUAGGCCAUGUUCAGGCCUGUUCUUAUUCUUGUGUUCAAUUGUUCUACUAACAUUGAAGGCAUUUAUAUCUCAUCAUUGACGGGAGGCGUAAACCACCAGCAACACUCUCAAAACCAGAACGGCCUGAUGAAUAUAGUGCUACUGCAUCUCCAUGGUCAGCCCUCCUCCCAGUGACCACUGCACAGUCUACAACCUCUACUCCUCCCUCAGGACCCCCUGCAGCUGCUGGCCAGUCUUUCUCUGGAAUCCCUGCAGCCUCUACUGGGUACCCCUCAAUUCAGCUGGAGGAGAAUCAUGCUGUUCCACCACUGCCAAGCUAUGAGCAGGAUGUGAGCCGAUGGCACUGCUCUCAACAGCAAAGAAUCUGGAUGAAAACAGAAAUGGAAGCCUUGGGACUGUGGCCAGGUUCUAGACCGGUGAGACAUCCAAUGAACAUGAUCUCCUUGUGGCGUUACCCACCUCAGCCUGAGCUUAUUGAUCCUGUCUAUGAGCUGCCAUCACCUAAAUACUUUCAACUUCAUCCAUUCUUCAUUUGGAAACCAGAGCACACCAUUAUGGAAAGAGUCCGCAACAACUACACUCUGCCAUGUCUGUACAGCUGUCCGAAUCCCCACGUUGUCUCAUCAGGAGUUGGACGACCCCGUGUCAUUAUUGGUACAAGCAGCCAGUACUACAUUCUGGCCUCUCGGCUCAGCUGUAAAGUCUGUAAAAAGUACUGGUUUGCAGACAAACCCCAAUGGAUGGACAUGCUGCCGAGUCGGUUCUGCAACAUUUUGCCAGCUUUUCUGACGCACAAGAAGGCCAUAUGUAAGACUGUGAUGGAUGAGUUGCGGCGUACAGGAAAG